AGGGCAAUAGUUUAAAUAAUUAAAAUAUUAGAUUUCGGGUCUUAAGAUUCACAAGGGGUUGUUCUU
rnacentral:tRNA from 1 species